GGGGAAUUUAGCUCAGCUGGGAGAGCACUGCUUUGCAAGCAGGAGGUCAUCGGUUCGAUCCCGUUAUUCUCCA
rnacentral:tRNA from 1 species